rnacentral:lncRNA from 1 species
GAAAUAUGUUAACAACAACAAAAAAUAUGUGGGAAUUUGAUAUUGUCCAUAUCAUUGGAUAAAAAGCCUGCCUCUCAACUUAUUUACUGCUCCACCUCUGGCUUUUGCUGCACCUGUCUUCACAAGCAUCGGAGCAUUCGUGUUUCGUCUGUCUUGUCGUGGCUGGAUGAAGUCAUCUUGGAGCAUGGGUGCGGUGGUGAAAGACACACACAGUGAAUUUACAUCUCUUGGAUAAAGGGAGAAGCUGAAGAAAGAUUUCCCCUGUGAGCUGGCUUUUAUCGCCAGUGCGAACAUCUUAGUCAGCACAAGCUCAGACUUCUAAAAUUGUGCAGCCGUGUGCUGUGAGGGAGGGAUACAGCUUCUGCAGCUUCCUGCUUCCCUGGAUCAGCCACGGAUGAAGGCUACAGGAUCUGGUGCUCCUCUAGCAGGAAUUGCUGAGCCCAGGUCAGAAAUCCUCAGACCAAAGCAAACAGUGCCACAGAAAAAUGCUGUAAGACAACCCAGUUUUGAGGGAAGUGCCCCUGAUAACUUCUCAGCUCCAGAGAGAAGCAGUGGAGGUUGGGGCCACUGAGUCUCCAUGGAAGUCAGAGGGUAAGGUUUGUUUAACUAAUUAGUGGUAAUCCUGAAUAACUCAGUGGGCUUUAAUUUAUGGGGUUUCCACCAGGUUCUGUGUUCAGCUCCUCACGGAGCGCCUGGAUCCCUGGGUUUUGUCACACAUGGAGUCCUGGAGACUGCCAUGGCCUGGAGAUCUGAGGCGGCCAUCUAGGGCACAGGGACAUGGCUUUAGGUCAAGUGCCCUCCAGUCCUCUGUAUCUGGUGGUGGGCAAGGAUCAUCCCUGGCUGUUGUCCCAAAGGUACUCUUGGGGAUCCACAAUGCAGACUAGGAGAUGGGCAGGAUGGACACCCUUGUCCAUCCAGUCUGAGGAGGCUGACUGUAUGUGGGACCU